UAUUACAGAAUAUAGGGGGAAAAUAAGAGAUCCGGAAUUUACGUGGGAUACAUUCUAGAGUCCGUCCAUAUUUAUACGUACGUGCGGUUGUUACAAACUUUGCAUUAUACGACAGGCAAUCUACUUUCUGAGGAGCGAUACAUGUGAUUCCACAAAUCCUUAUAAACGUAGAAACGGAAUGCCUGCCCUUCGUUUGUUGCUACUUGCUAGCGAGAGAGAAAGAAAGAGAGACAGAGACAGAGAAGAGCGUCAUGGAAGAGAGCAGGAACGAAGCCAUUGAUGCAACGCAUGGGACUAACAAAAGGGAGCCUCUUCUGUCUCCAGAUGUUGAGUUGGCGUCGAGAAGCGAUUCAUCGUCGUGGAGACUCAAUCUGCAAGAGUUCCCGGCGCUGCCAGAGAGAAGAGAUGGCGAUCGAGAUUCCUUCAUUCUCCACCGCCUUCUUCGUACCCCAAGGAAACGAAACAAGGUUGCUGAUUAUUAUAAGAAGCAAGAAAGGCUCCUUGAAGGGUUCAACGAGAUGGAGACCAUGACUGAAAAUGGUUGUUUGCCUGAUAGUCUAACAGAGGAUGAGAUGAAGCAGCUUGCAAAAAGUGAGAGGAUGGCAAUCCAUGCAUCAAACAUAGCUAAUGUUGUACUCUUUGCGGCAAAGCUAUAUGCUUCUAUUGAGAGCAGAUCAUUGGCAGUUAUCGCCUCAACCAUGGAUUCACUCUUAGAUCUCUUGUCUGGGUUUAUAUUGUGGUUCACUGCACAUGCCAUGAGAAAACCAAACCAGUAUCACUAUCCAAUUGGAAAGAAACGGAUGCAGCCAGUUGGCAUCAUUGUUUUUGCGUCAGUAAUGGCAACUCUUGGAUUACAAAUACUGAUAGAAUCUGUUCGACAACUCAUUUCAAAGGCCCAGCCUGAAAGGAAUCCCGAGAAGGAGAAAUGGAUGAUUGGAAUAAUGGUCUGCGUAACUGUAGUGAAGUUUGUGCUCAUGGUCUAUUGUCGAAGAUUUAAGAACGAAAUUGUUAGAGCCUAUGCACAAGAUCAUUUAUUCGACGUUGUUACUAAUUCAGUUGGUUUGGCAGCAGCUGUUUUGGCUAUCCGUUUUUACUGGUGGAUUGAUCCUACUGGAGCUAUUAUAAUCGCUUUAUAUACAAUGAAUACUUGGACAAGGACAGUGAUUGAGAAUGUAUGGUCACUAAUCGGAAGAACAGCACCACCUGAAUUUUUGGCAAAGUUAACAUAUCUAAUAUGGAAUCACAAUGAAGACAUCAAGCACAUUGAUACGGUUAGAGCAUACACUUUCGGUUCUCAUUAUUUUGUGGAGGUUGACAUAGUUUUGCCACAAGACAUGCUUCUGAACAAAGCACAUAAUAUUGGUGAGACAUUGCAAGAGAAGCUUGAACAGCUCCCUGAAGUUGAGAGAGCCUUUGUACAUAUAGAUUUCGAGUAUAGUCACAGGCCCGAACACAAGAUCGCGAUCUAAUGGGAAUGAUGACGAUGAUGGUGAUAGUAAUGAUCAGAUCUCAACCUUUCCACGCACCAGUAAGUAUCUUAUUCAAGAUCUGCACAGAAUAGUGCCGAUCUACUUCUUUCUGGCCAUCCAAAACUGCACCACAAGACUUGCCAGCCACCGAUCCUUCGGAUGGCAAAAGAAAAACGUCCAAAAGAGUAGCGUGUGGUCCUCAAGCGUGGCAUUUUUGGGGUCAGGGACCUCAGAUCUCUUAGAUUCAACCAACAUCUAGUCUCCUAGUGUGGCCACCGCAGUUCUUAGCAAUCUCCUACCAGAGAUUUGACGCUUCUCCAACUUGCUAUCUUCCUAUGUUAUUGCUCAUCCUAAUCAAGAAUCAUGGGAAAGAGGUAAUGAAAGUCUUCUUUAGUCAAUCCAGACUAGUGACAUGCAGCACAAAUUCUUAUAUUAUAGUCCGUUUAUCAGACUGUAUCAAAACCGCUUCAGGCGGCUUCCCUUUGUGAGAAAUGGGUGGGGGUCAAGUCCUUGGCCCCAGAUUUCUUUUUUUU